UAAUAAUGCCACCGCGAUAGGGCUGAUGUGAACCUGGUCAGGACGGGAACGUAGCAGCCAUAAGCAUUCAACCUAUGUGCGAUGGUUUUUUUAUGAAAU
rnacentral:SRP_RNA from 1 species